UAAUGGCAGGUCAGCAUACUGCCGUGAAUACGUUCCCGGGCCUUGUACACACCGCCCGUCACACCAUGAGAGUUGGAAAUACCCGAAGCCUGUGAGCUAACUUAAGGGAGGCAGCAGUCGAAGGUAGAGCCAAUGAUUGGGGUGAAGUCGUAACAAGGUAAC
rnacentral:rRNA from 1 species